rnacentral:rRNA from 1 species
AGGACUAACGCUGGCGGCGUGCCUAACACAUGCAAGUCGAACGAGGUAGCAAUACCUAGUGGCAGACGGGUGAGUAACGCGUGGUCAACCUACCUCUUAGUGGGGGAUAACUAGCCGAAAGGUUAGCUAAUACCGCAUACGAUCGUCGCGAGGCAUCUCGUGACGAUGAAAGGAGCAAUUCGCUAAGAGAGGGGACUGCGUCCCAUUAGUUAGUUGGUGGGGUAAUGGCCUACCAAGACUCCGAUGGGUAGCUGGCUUGAGAGAGCGACCAGCCACACUGGAACUGAGACACGGUCCAGACUCCUACGGGAGGCAGCAGUGAGGAAUUUUCCGCAAUGGGCGCAAGCCUGACGGAGCGACGCCGCGUGUGGGAAGAAGGCCUUCGGGUCGUAAACCACUGUCGAAGGGGACGAUAUUGACGGUACCCUUGGAGGAAGCCCCGGCUAACUACGCGCCAGCAGCCGC